AAAGGAAUUGACGGGGACCCGCACAAGCGGUGGAGCAUGUGGUUUAAUUCGAAGCAACGCGAAGAACCUUACCUGGUCUUGACAUCCCGCUGACCGGAACUUAAUCGUUCCUUCCCUUCGGGGCAGUGGAGACAGGUGGUGCAUGGUUGUCGUCAGCUCGUGUCGUGAGAUGUUGGGUUAAGUCCCGCAACGAGCGCAACCCUUAUCUUUAGUAGCCAGCAGUUCGGCUGGGCACUCUAGAGAGACUGCCAGGGAUAACCUGGAGGAAGGUGGGGAUGACGUCAAAUCAUCAUGCCCCUUAUGAUCAGGGCUACACACGUGCUACAAUGGCGUAAACAAAGGGAGGCAACCCCGCGAGGGUGAGCAAAUCCCAAAAAUAACGUCUCAGUUCGGAUUGUAGUCUGCAACUCGACUACAUGAAGCUGGAAUCGCUAGUAAUCGCGAAUCAGCAUGUCGCGGUGAAUACGUUCCCGGGUCUUGUACACACCGCCCGU
rnacentral:rRNA from 1 species